AUUGAACGCUGGCGGCAUGCCUUACACAUGCAAGUCGAACGGCAGCACGGGAGCAAUCCUGGUGGCGAGUGGCGAACGGGUGAGUAAUAUAUCGGAACGUGCCCAGUCGUGGGGGAUAACGCAGCGAAAGCUGUGCUAAUACCGCAUACGAUCUAAGGAUGAAAGCGGGGGAUCGCAAGACCUCGCGCGAUUGGAGCGGCCGAUAUCAGAUUAGCUAGGUGGUGGGGUAAAGGCCCACCAAGGCGACGAUCUGUAGCUGGUCUGAGAGGCCGACCAGCCACACUGGAACUGAGACACGGUCCAGACGCCUACGGGAGGCAGCAGUGGGGAAUUUUGGACAAUGGGCGCAAGCCUGAUCCAGCAAUGCCGCGUGCAGGAUGAAGGCCUUCGGGUUGUAAACUGCUUUUGUACGGAACGAAACGGCCCUUUCUAAUACAGGGGGCUAAUGACGGUACCGUAAGAAUAAGCACCGGCUAACUACGUGCCAGCCGCCGCCGUAAUAC
rnacentral:rRNA from 1 species